GACGAACGCUGGCGGCGUGCUUAACACAUGCAAGUCGAACGGGGUUAGGGAGCUUGCUCCUUAACUUAGUGGCGAACGGGUGAGUAACGCGUGAGGAACCUGCCUUUCAGUGGGGGACAACAGUUGGAAACGACUGCUAAUACCGCAUAAUGUCAUCGGGCGGCAUCGCUUGAUAACCAAAGAUUUAUUGCUGAAAGAUGGCCUCGCGUCUGAUUAGCUAGUUGGCGGGGUAACGGCCCACCAAGGCGACGAUCAGUAGCCGGACUGAGAGGUUGACCGGCCACAUUGGGACUGAGAUACGGCCCAGACUCCUACGGGAGGCAGCAGUGGUGAAUAUUGGGCAAUGGGCGAAAGCCUGACCCAGCAACGCCGCGUGAAGGAAGAAGGCCUUCGGGUUGUAAACUUCUUUUACCAGGGACGAACACAAUGACGGUACCUGGAGAAAAAGCAACGGCUAACUACGUGCCAGCCGCCGCAGUAAAAC
rnacentral:rRNA from 1 species